CGCCCGUUCCCCUCCCCCUCCCGCCCACUCUCCUCUCUUCCCCGCCUCCCUUCCAUGAAAACCCUAGCCGCCACUAUCCGCCGAGCUCUCUUGCCGCCGGCGGCCAAGCCCCUUCGCCAUCUCCUUAGCCCAGCCGGUCGCCGCCUCCGUCGUUCUCUAGGUAGGCAGCCGCUUCUUCUUCACUGAGCCCCGUCUGCAUCGUGCUUGGCGCGAGCGUCUAGGAUUUCUAACCACUAGCGCCUGACACCACCGGAUGGGGGCGGCCAGUGCUCCACCCCUUGACGCCGCCAAAUCCCCGUAGCGGAAGACAUCGACGAGGACGCCGACAAGGCAGCGCCGCCUGUCGACCGUGUGUGCCUCCUGCCACCACCACCAAGAUCUGGGAGAAAGAGUAGGAGGCAGAGAGGGAGAUGGGGUGGUAAGAAGAGAGGGUGAGGAAGGAGGAAAAGGAGAUCCUCGCGGCACUCAUGGUGGUCGCCCAGAUCCCAGCGGGGGUGGCAUUCCAACUCCAACAUGCUCUGUGUUGUUCUAAAGAUUCCUUCACGGCUGCCUCCCAGCCAAAUCCAGCCGCCAACCAGCACGCGCUCGCCUUGGUCUCCUCUUUCUCCCUGAUGGCCUCUUCUCCUCCAUGGUGCUAACCAAACGGAAGGGAGCACUGACACCGGGUAACCGUUGAUGAUGUUUAAAAAAGACACCACCAAUAGCAGAGCACUCUAUUGCUGCAAUUACAUGCAGCCCCUUCUCCGGACAAGCAAAAGUCGUGGCUGCAAUGGAUACCGAUUAGAUUCUCGACCAAGGUUUGCCCGGGCCUGCAUCCUCCAAUAACAAGAAGAUGUGCCCACCUAUCAAGAGGUUCUAAUGAUCUUGCAGUCAGAGGGAAAAUAAACUCACAAAAAUAUGAGCCAGGUGACCAUGAUCCACUUCCAGCAAAUUUGACUUAUUGCUCCCUAUUGGGAAUAUUUAUUUUCUCAUGUUGUUUAUUCCUUUGCACAAAGGAACUGCAUUGUUGAAUCCAAAGGUAGCUAAAUCAUGGGAAUGCAAAAUUGCAUAUUUAUCCAUGUGGGUGUGGAUUUUUAUACUUUGUUGUGAUUUAGAAAGUGUAAUUUCAAUGACAUUCAGUUGUAAUUGCUCAGCCAAAUAACCCACGUACGUUGUUAAUCUGAAGACAAAUUACACAGUUCUCUCUUAAUACUGUCGUUGCAUCAUGUGAGACAAGUUACUCCAGUUGUACAUAGGUAUCCAUCAUUUCCCUCAAGUAUCAAGUGUGGCUGAUAUGUUGCUCUCACCUAUAUCAUCUUUUUCUUGCAGGCACCUUAUUCUUUCAGCUGCAAUAUUUAUUUGGAUCUCUCAGUUGUGAAGUGCCAUCAUGUGUCAAAAACGCCCUUAUAUUAUAGGACAGAGGGAGUAUUUAUACUCUGCACGCACAAUGUUACCGAUUUGUUUUCAGUCGCAGUAUGCCAUCUAUCUGAAUUUUGGAUAGCUUGCAUAGUGCCUAAUAAGUUCAUGAGCUAAUUAUAAUAUUAUUUAUAGAGCUUCCAUAUAAUCAUUAGGAUGAUGAAGCAUGUAAGUAUUGUCACUACUAAUUGCAUUAGCUUCGCCUCAGAACUUGGAAGGAGGAAGUAGAGUUAUCAACAAUGAUCAACUAUGAGGUACCAUAGAUAUCGACGUUUGCAGAGCAUUGUUUCCAAUUGUCUGUUAUCUCAUUGUGUUUAUGAGCGGAUACAUCUCCUGUAACCUUUAUUCUUACAGUUGCUGAUAUGAACUACUUGGCUAUUUAUAGAAUUUAUGACUUUAUGUU